AGUGAACGCUGGCGGUAGGCCUAACACAUGCAAGUCGAGCGGCAGCACAGUAAGAGCUUGCUCUUACGGGUGGCGAGUGGCGGACGGGUGAGGAAUACAUCGGAAUCUACUUUUUCGUGGGGGAUAACGUAGGGACACUUACGCUAGUACCGCAUACGACCUACGGGUGAAAGCAGGGGAUCUUCGGACCUUGCGCGAUUGAAUGAGCCGAUGUCGGAUUAGCUAGUUGGCGGGGUAAAGGCCCACCAAGGCGACGAUCCGUAGCUGGUCUGAGAGGAUGAUCAGCCACACUGGAACUGAGACACGGUCCAGACUCCUACGGGAGGCAGCAGUGGGGAAUAUUGGACAAUGGGCGCAAGCCUGAUCCAGCCAUACCGCGUGGGUGAAGAAGGCCUUCGGGUUGUAAAGCCCUUUUGUUGGGAAAGAAAAGCAGCAGGUUAAUACCCCGCUGUUCUGACGGUACCCAAAGAAUAAGCACCGGCUAACUUCGUG
rnacentral:rRNA from 1 species